rnacentral:lncRNA from 1 species
UCGUUGCCCUCGCUCUCCUGGCUCUCGCGGCGAGCGCCGCCUCCACGCUUACAACCGGCGGCUGCGGCUGCCAGACACCUCAUCUACCACCACCGCCGGUUCAUCUGCCGCCGCCGGUGCAUCUGCCACCGCCGGUGCACCUGCCGCCGCCGGUUCACGUGCCACCGCCGCCACCACAAUGCCACCCACACCCUACUCUACCGCCCCACCCACAUCCAUGCGCUACAUACCCACCGCAUCCAAGCCCGUGCCACCCAGGGCAUCCCGGAUCCUGCGGUGUUGGCGGCGGCCCCGUCAC